GUAGGCCUUUAGAUCAUCUAAAGAGUAUUCAACAUUAGAUGAGCUAAAGGCCUA
rnacentral:miRNA from 1 species